CCAUUUUUGGCUCUGUGACCUCAGUCAGGAAAGAACAGCUUUCCAGAGCCCAUCAGGUCGGCUGAGUCUGUGAUUUGUUUUAAACGACUGCUGAAAACACAUUUUAUAGGCUUGGGACUGGCAUUAGGAGUACCCUGGCUUGUGGCCCCUCAUAGCUGGGAUGCACCAUUUUCUGAUCACCCAUCUAUCUAAUCAUAACCCUGACUGUUGCAGGAAUAAUCUGACACGGUAUUUUUCAUACUGAGCAAUCAACAGAAAAAAAGAAGGAAAAACAGAACAAACAGGUCCAAUGUAUAACCAGUUAUAAUGCAAGGGAGUGAUAGAUCACAACACACCUAUGAUCCUCGGAAAACAAUAAUAGGGUGUAUCUUUAUGAUUUCCUGCGUCAUG